UGAGGUAGUAGUUUGUGCUGUUGGUCGGGCUGUGACAUUGCCCGCUGUGGAGAUAACUGCGCAAGCUACUGCCUUGCU
ensembl:miRNA